GCAGUCUCUGCUACGAACAGCAAAAGGUACCUUAAUUUGAAGCCGUUCUGCUUUGUGUUGGUAGCUUACGUUAUGGUUGUGAAGCUGUGGAAGGUAAUGUAAUACCGUGGACUAUACAUUCUGACAUCAGUUAGAGCUUUGAAUUCAUCAUGUGUUUACUGGGUCCUUCUCCAUUUCAAAAACUUACAAAGAUGCAGAUGUUAAGGUCAAAAGCUUGAAUUUAAGAUGUGCUUGAGCUUUUAUCAAUGUGAGUCCUUAGGUUUUCCAUUUUUGUAGCUCACUCAUAACUUCAAUGGAUGUAAUUGUAUAUGUCUAAUAAACUCUUUAAAUACUAGAUUAUUUCUUUUGAUAUUUAGAUUCUGAAAGUCUUUUGUCAUAAUAAGGAGAAAUGAUUUUUUUUUAUAAAUACAGUAGCAGCUUGAAAAACAUGCACCAAAAAUGUAAACUUGCAUGAUUUCUUUCAUUUUUUUACUAACUUUUUUUUUUUUUUGCUAAGUUAUGUGCUAGCAAAAUGUUUGGAACUGCUCUACUUUUUCUGUUAGCUUCAUAUACCUGACGUAGACUAAGCACCUAUGUGUGAUAUGCUGUAUGUAUACAUGUGGAUAAAUGCUAAUGGGCACGUGUGUUGGUUCUGAUGUUAGCAUACUUCAAUUUCACCAUGACUAUUUUGUUAUGAGCUGUUGCUGACGUGAUGCUACCUCUUAGAUGCUCCAGUAGUACAAAGCCUGACUGAGAAAGAGCACCCUGCUUGGUUUCCUGCCAGACCAGCCUACCAGCCUUAGUUGUUUCUUAGUGCCUGACAGGUAGCCUUGCCACCCUGGCUCUCAUCAGGAGAUUACCCUGCCCUGUUCACUUUGUAAUCCUCCAUAGUUAGUUGUCUUACCGCGGUUGCUCCGGUAGUGCAUUUCCUUUCUCCCGUGUCAAGCUAAAGCUCAGUUGUUCUGUGAUGAGGCCUGCCUGUGUGAGAACUGUCAGAAGAGACCUCAGCGAGGCUCUGUUUCUGCUCGUGUUUUGUGCUAGUGCCAGAGAACGCUUUCUGUUCGUGUGAAACACAGCAUGCCUACCUGUCAGUUAGGGGCACCUGAGCUCCGCUCAGUGGAGGUGUAGCGUGAUGCCUCUCCCUUGUUCCAGAGUUGUGAAGCAGGAUGGAGCACAAGGUCUGUGUGUUGGCCUCUGUUCUUCUGUGACCUCAAGUGGGGCAGGUACCCUUAGUGUGGUUCCUUUACAUCCAGUGGGAUUGCAGCUUUAGAAGGCUCACACAAACCUGGGUAAGAGCUGCCUUCACCCUAAAGUAGGAAGCUAUUUAACUUGAACUGGUCAAUUCUUCCUAAUGAGCUCAAGGCAAGCCAACAGAUUUCAAAACGAAUGAGUCAAGUCAAAGAUUUUUAGAUACAUCAAAAUAUCUUCUAAAAAUUCUUCACUUUUGAACACUGGGGUCAGUUGUGAUAAGACUGCUCAUUUUUAAUGUUGUAUGGUAUUUUGCAUUGAAAAAUAAAGUUGACUCAGUAUUACAGUCCCUACAAGUAAUGAUUUACAUGGAUCUCUUUAAAGGUCCUGGAACCUGUGAGCCUCCUUUACCUCAUUUGUGAUUAGCAGAAACACCUACCUCACAGGGUUGUUGUGAGGAUUCCAUGAGCUGAUGUAUGUGGAAAGCACUUGGUGGAUUGUAAAGUGCUGUGCUGUGUUACUGCUGUAUCUGAGAUGUUUCAAGUUUCCCCUCAGAAAUAGUAUAAUAAACCUCCCAGGCUUUUCUGUUGUAU
rnacentral:lncRNA from 1 species